rnacentral:misc_RNA from 1 species
AUCACGUCCUUCGAGGAUCGUUUUUUUCAAGUUUCGACAUUAAUAUGUGCUUUUUCGUAACGACGAAAGAUCGUAAAAAAUAAAAAUCUUUGAGCUCAUUGUGUGAUCAUGCAAGAAUAAUGAAGAGGGAUUAAAAAAGUGUCUUAACGAAAACCAUUGAGAAUAAAAACAAACGGUCAAUUAUCAAAAAGGAUUGUGGACAUAAUUUCAUGGAAAUAUGGAAACUUCAUUAACAGAAAUACAUCCGACCCAAGAUCAGGGCAUAAGUACCUCUCUCCUGCCUUGCACCAAUGGUCAGUUGGAUAACCGUUUUGUCAAUAGGUCCAACAGUGAUUCCAUUGAUAAUUCCAUGUUGUGGGCAGAUAGUUUCGACAAUGAUAUCAAACAAGCUGUUGGCAAAAGAAGCUACCACAUUCUUCAUCAUUUGCUUGAUCUUUAUUUAAGAAACGUUACAAGCGACGCGGUUGCGUCCAGAAGUCAUUCGCCUGUUAAAUUCAGAGAUCACACUCUGAAGGUUCUGAUGUUUUUCCAUUUUUUCUACCAUGACGUCAAAGAUGUGGUGGCUGAUCAUAAUUUCUAUUUGGAUAAAAUGUCUGAGAUAAUUGAAAUUUACGUGGACACAGAAUUGCGAGCAAGCAAAAUAUCAGAUCCCGAGUCUUUGCUACAAAUUUCUGCCAAAUUGAUCUCAGCUUUGUAUAUUUAUCUGGAUAAUUCGGAGGAACACGUGUUGAGAGUUUUGUUUCGAAUGAAAGUGCUCAAUAACAUGUACAGCAAAAUUUACCAUUCGAUUUUGCGCAAAUGUUGCACAAAUAUGAACGGGAAACCAGAAUUGUUAUCAGAAGUGACGUACGUCCGUUAUUUAUUUGCUCUAAAACUGUGGAAAAAAACAUGCGAAGAUCCUGAGCAAAGAAAGCAGAUCGACGAAUUAGCAUUAAAGAUUUUAGGUCCGCGUAUACCAAACAGAGGCAUCGAGGUGACGAAAUCCUUGCCUUUCUUGCGACAUAAAAGCAGAACUCUCAGGCUUAUGAAACAAAAUUCCUUUGACCUGAGAACAGCCUGUGAGGAUUUUAUCGCAUUCGAAAGACGUAUAAACGCGGCGAGCUUAUCGAGGGACGGGAUCGACUACAAUCCAUAACACGAGGAGGCUCGACUCUUCUCGAGUUCCUCGGGUGGUCGAGCCUCUGUUUCUUUGGCCAAAAAUUGUGCCAGUGCGAAACGUUCGAAAAUUCCAGUGCCCAGAUUGAAACCGGGCGAGAUAGUAUUAAUCGAUCUUUCGGAUGAUCGAUCAGAAGAGAAGAGAACAUUGAGCGAAGAGGGGGCGAAGAAACGGCGCGAAAGAAUAGCCAGAAGAUUGGAAUGGUUGAAAAAAAUGAAAAAAGUCAAUUUGCUUAAAAGUAGUGACGCACAAUCGAAAAACACGGGAAAUCGAGUGGAAAUCGCUGAUGCUCACAGUACGAAUUUAUAUGAAAGUCCCGGGCCGGCCGCUCAAGUUGAGGACAUGAGGGAAAAUCAAAACCGCGUCGAUUCGACGGUUGUCGCCGAUUCGACUGUGGAUGAUUCCCCAUUUCGACAAAAUGCUUUUCACAGCAAAUCGGAAAUCUUCGCCAUUCCACCGGAAAAAUGUUCUUCGAACUCUCAGAACAAUGAGAUUAAAAUUCAUUGCGGGGCUUUAUGGUCUUUUCACAAAUCUUCAUAUAAUAAUUUAACGAACGAAUCUUCGGAAGAGAAGAAUUGCAUCGAUAAUUUCGAGCUCGACAUGAACGAUGAGUCGGUAAUUAUGAAUCGGGUGAAUCAUAACGAUAAUAUACUCGAAAGUAUAUUGAACGGUGACAUGGGUAUUCUCGAAGACGAUCGAUCGAUAUUCGAAAGUUCCUCGACCAGUCCCAGAAUGAUCGUCAACGAAAUCGAAGAAAAUUCUAAAAACGAAGAUAUCGUCGAUUGCCUCGUCGAUUUUCGUUUACCCAGCAUCGAUUCACCGCCCAAUGAUUCCCUUUAUUCGAGCGUACGAAGCGUCGAUCCACGCUUAACACGAAAAAUUCCAAGUAUCGAUGAUAAUCCCACGAUUAUGAGCGACCUCGAUAACUUGGAUAUUUUCGUUUCUCCCGGUGGUUCUUCGACAUCGGGAAAGCGAGAUUCCCUUUUGAAUGGAGCAAAGAACGAGCUCGUCUCUAAAAGAACGAGUCUUGAUACGAAAGACGAUAGCACCGUGACGAAAGCGAUGAGUACUCUCGAGAAUGACGACUCUUUCAACAGAUCGAGACGUGAAAUAUUCCAACAUUCAUUCAUGGACAUCAAUGAAAGUACUGUAGAAACGGGAAAAAAUAUUUUUCACAAUGAGGAAAAGCACGAUUCGUUGAAUAUCGAUGAUUAUAAAAAAAACACCGAGACGAGAAAUGAUUCGAGUGUCGAACCCUUAUACUUUUCCGAAAGUAACAUUCCUGCUAUCGAAAAAAUAGAACAAACCACGAAAGAUCCCAUCAUUUCCAUUUCAAUAUACGAGAAUUCCCGAUGCCAAAACCAAAUUUCCAAUUUGACGAAACUCUCCAACGUCUCUUCUACAACUGCCUAUUACGAGUAUCUCCUGCUGGCAAAAAAAACGAACAUUCUCGACACGAAAGAUCAACCGAUUGUUCCAUCGCCAGUCAUGAUCCAAGUUCCUCAAGUUUCCAGUCCCGAAAACGUAUCCGCAAUGAAGAAAAUUCAAGCUGGACAGCAGAUUUGCAACAAUCACGAAUUUCCUAUGCCACAACAACCAACUUCCGGAAGAUCCCUCGGAGUUGCCAACAAUCGGGUCAGCAAUGAAGACUCACCACCGAUGAAGAGGCGAAAAGAGGUGAAUUCGAUCGUGUUUUUUAAAUCUUUUUUUUUUUUCUUGAUUUUACAACGAACGCACGAAAAUCUUCAACUGUCGCUUGUUUGAAAUCAAAAAUCAAAAGGAAGCUACUGAAGAAUAAUUUCGCGUGUAUAGAAAAGAAAUUUUUUAUUAGUCCGCGUUCGAAUCUCCGCUAAUGAGCAAGCAUAAAAUUUCGUUCUUCGAUUCGUUGUUAUGAAUCGCGUAGGUUCAAGGAACCAAGCGAUUUCAGGAGCUGAAAUGGUUGACAUCAAAAGCCUGAGUCUUGUUUACAUUCUGGAGAAGAAACAACGCGUCCAUGAAAAAUCAUAUGGAUGUCCUUUCGUCCUUGAAGAAUGAAAGCAUCCGUAGCCAGGAGGAUGAGGCUUUGAUCGAUUGGGGUAUCACGGAUACAGAAGCCCCAAACCACAUUUUAUAUACUACUGUCCGUAAUUUAAUUAAAAUUACUAGCACCUUCCCGUCGGUCGGAGCCGACCUUAUUAUUCUUAUCUACCAUGUAGUAUUGCUAUUCCUCUAUUUAUAUUAAAAGUGUGUAGUACCUAAAAUUUUUAAACACGCGAGUUAUCUUCGGUCUGCGUACGAUCAACUUUUUUUCCUUUAUUUUCACCAUGCUUAAUUCUGGCUAUAUAAAACACAAUAUUGCCGACGACGAACCAAGUGAUUCGGAAUGUAUGGAGAACAAUUGUCAAUACAGUUUCCGUCGUUCAGUCGAAAGUGUUCCAUGGAAAGCCACGUACUCGUAAAAAUAUAUGGUACCGUACCGAAGAGGAUGUUUUUUUUUUUUUUUUUUCAAUUUUAUAAAUCUAUCUCAAUAAUUUUAAUCUUCUAAUUUUAUAAAGCGAAACCCAAUAUACACGGAAAAGCCUGUGAUUGAACCUGACUCCGAGAUUUAGCUCCUUUUUAUGCCGUAUUAAAAUUUGAGAUUUUUAUUUAAUAUUAUUUGAUGAAAUUCGGUACUUAACUGCUGAUGAUAAUGAGCAACAAUAUAGUAAUAGAAAAAUAUACAUUUUUUGUUUAGAGUACGUGAAAAACUGGAUAUGUAGAUGUCAAAUGUUUCUUUCUCUGACAUACAAGCGUUCGUAAACGUUAAAAUAUUUCUAUUAAUACAUGGGAUACAAAAAUGAA